rnacentral:SRP_RNA from 1 species
CGGCGGGUUGGACCGGGGAGCUAGCCCUGCCCUUCACCCGAAAAGGGCUACAAGCGGGGGUCCGUUAACCUACGGGGGCGCCGACUUGAAGGGCCGUAGGCCCCAAGCCUCGGACUAUGAGGCCUCGUCCCGCAGGGUUGGGUGGAGGAGAAGGCAUCUCUGAAGGGAGGUGUCGAUCUCCCUAACUGCCGAACCGGGCUAGGCCGGGAACGGAGCAACCCUAAGGCAGACAUUCCAACGUUUGUGGGGCAACGGGGCCAAGGAAGGGCUUGGAAAACCGCGGCCUGGAUGGCGGCCACCUCGGGGGAUGCCGCCG